GGUGGCUCAGUGAUAGAGCGCUUGCCUCGCAUGCAUGAGGUCCUGGGUUCGAUUUCUCAGCACCA
rnacentral:tRNA from 1 species